rnacentral:rRNA from 1 species
UACGUAGGGGGGCAAGCGUUGUCCGGAAUCAUUGGGCGUAAAGAGCGUGUAGGUGGCUCGGUAAGUCCGCUGUGAAAGUCCAGGGCUCAACCCUGGAAAGCCGGUGGAAACUGUCGAGCUCGAGUCCGGAAGAGGCGAGUGGAAUUCCUGGUGUAGCGGUGAAAUGCGCAGAUAUCAGGAGGAACACCAAUGGCGAAGGCAGCUCGCUGGGACGGUACUGACACUGAGACGCGAAAGCGUGGGGAGCGAACAGG